rnacentral:rRNA from 1 species
UACAGAGGGUGCAAGCGUUAAUCGGAAUUACUGGGCUUAAAGGGUGCGUAGGCUGAUCCGAAAGUGCUUUGUGAAAUCCCCCGGCUCAACCGGGGAACAGCGGGGCAUACUGCGGAUCUUGAGGCAGGUAGGCGCCGAGGGAACAGUAGGUGGAGCGGUGAAAUGCGUAGAUAUCUACUGGAACGCCGAUGGUGAAGACGCUCGGCUGGGCCUGUCCUGACGCUGAGGCACGAAAGCGUGGGGAGCAAACAGG